UACGUAGGGGGCAAGCGUUGUCCGGAUUUAUUGGGCGUAAAGAGCGUGUAGGCGGCCAUGUAGGUCCGUUGUGAAAACUCGAGGCUCAACCUCGAGACGCCGAUGGAAACCAUGUGGCUAGAGUCCGGAAGAGGAGAGUGGAAUUCCUGGUGUAGCGGUGAAAUGCGUAGAUAUCUGGAGGAACACCGGUGGCGAAGGCGGCAUCCUGGACCGACACUGACGCUGAGGCGCGAAAGCUAGGGGAGCAAACGGG
rnacentral:rRNA from 1 species